rnacentral:rRNA from 1 species
CUCAGUUCAGAUCGUAGGCUGCAACUCGCCUACGUGAAGUAGGAAUCGCUAGUAAUCGCAGGUCAGCAUACUGCGGUGAAUACGUUCCCGGGCCUUGUACACACCGCCCGUCACACCAUGGAAGUUGGCCACGCCCGAAGUCGUUACUUUAACCCUUGUGGAGAAGGACGCCGAAGGUGGGGCUGAUGACUGGGGUGAAGUCGUAACAAGGUAGCCGUACCGGAAGGUGCGGCUGGAUCACCUCCUAA